rnacentral:lncRNA from 1 species
GUGGCCCCACUGGCUCAGCCUGAGGGCUGCUCCUGCAGCAUGUGGAGGUUCCCAGGCUAGGGGCCUACGCCAGAGCCACAGCAACGCGGGAUCCGAGCCAUGUCUGCGACCUACACCACCGUUCUCUGCAACGCCAGAUCCUCAACCCACUGAACGGAGCCAGGGAUCGAACCUGCAACCUCAUGGUUCCCAGCCUAGGGGUCGAGUCAGAGCUGUAGCCGCCGGCCGACACCCCAGCCAUGGCAACACUGGAUCUGAGCCGCAUCUGUGACCUACACCACAGCUCAGGGCAGUGCCGGAUCCUUAACUCACUGAGCGAGACCAGGGAUCAAACCAGCCUCCUCCUGGAUACCAGUCAGGUUUUUAACCCGCUGAGCCGCCCUGGGAACUCUUUGUCAUCCUCAUCAUUUUCAUUGUCGCUGUCACCUUCAGCAGCAGCAGAAGCAGCAGCAUCUUUAGCAGCAGUACCCCUGAAGAGCAACCCCGGGAGGGUGCUUUAUAUACGGUUCCAAGUUUCCUGCCACGGCCAAGCACCGCUUGUCCAUUUAAAGGGGGACAUCCGAUGGUGGCCCCAAGGCACUGCGAUGAGCCCUGGGGUAAGGACAUGGCUGGGACAGGGGGGGUGCCUGUCCACAGAGGUGAGAGCUCCACCUGGCUCACAGGCCUGCACCCGGCAGGACCUGACAGGCUCCUUGGCCCGACUGGGGAGCUAGGGUGCCGGGCAGUCUGCCACCUGACCCCCACAGCCGCCCGCCUUCUGCAGUGCUGGGGUGCGGCCCGCAGGCACAGUCAGGUCCGGGCAGGGCCUGGGAGGCUCUGCAUGUUUGGUGCGCGGCUGCAGGGAGAGGAGCAGCCUGGCUGCCUGGGCUUGGAGAGGAGACUUGCCCAGGUGUGUGUGCAGGGGCCCCGGCCAGCCUCACCCGGGACAGUGAUGCACGCCCGGCGGUGACGCGUGAACACUGGAAUCCCAGGCACUGGGGCUCGGGCAUCCUCAGGCUGGCAUGGCUCUGCUCUCUCCACCAGUCCGUGCAAGGAUGGGCUUGUCCGCCUCCGGCCAUCAAGGAUUCUGGACCUGACUCCAGGCCACCAUGGCCUUCUUCCUCCUUCUGGAACCCAGCCUCCACCCUCUAGCGAUGAGGGUGGACAGAUGCUGUCUCCCCAGCCAGGCGAUAGGACCCAUCCUUUCUGGUCUUGGGCCCUCCUCCCCUGGGACCUCUGGGGGGUCCCCCAAGAGCCGAGGUGCAGGGUCAUGGGCACCAGGACAUUGACGUUCGGGGGAGCCGUCCCACGGGCCCAAUGCCCUCUUUCCCAGCUGGAGAAGCUGAGGACACGAGGGGGGUGGUUCCUCUAGGGCCACACCCAGGACUGGGCCCUGGGGAGCAGCUUCUCUCUGCUUCCUCCUGGAAAGGCCAUGACCUCUGGGGAGGCGGGUCCAAGUCCCUCUGCCCUUCAGAGACUCAGUCAGCAGGAAUUUCCGCACAGCCCCGUGCUAGGAGGUGGCAGGGGACGGUGGAGGAAGAUGCAGGUCUUGCCCCCCGGAGGAGACAACGACCCAGCGGGGAGAGGGGCAGACAAGCUCGUGAAGAAACGUCCUGCCACUGGUCUGGUCACAUCAGGGGAAGGCCCUCGGGGGACACCUGGGCCUGGAGCCUGGAUGGCGAGGAGGCCUUCUGCACUAGAGGAGGCCUUCCGGGUGGGGCCGUGGCAGGUGCAAAGGCCCUGAGGUUGGAGGAACCAUCCUCAAGAGGGGGCAGGCGUGGGACUGAGGGCCCGAGCCGAGGCCGGGAGGCCAACAGCGGCCAGGCCACGGAGGACUUGGCAGCCGUGGAAGGCAUGUGGCCUUUCUCCUGGGAGCGGAGGGGAGACCCAGAGGAUGACAGAACUGGAGCCGCUUUUGAAGAGACUGUGGAGGAGGAAAAGGAUCGGAUUCGGAGCCCCUUCCAGAUAGCAAGUUCCGCAGAGACCCAGAGACUGCAGGUGUGGCUGGUCCUGACCCUGGCCUUGGACGAGUGCCCCACACCCAAGGUCUCCACGGCCCCUCCUCCCAGGCCUCCUCUAAGACCUGCCAGCCCAGAGGUCCUGGCAGGCAUCUCUUGGACACAGUCCCAGGGCGUGGGACUUGAUGGCUGAGUGUGCUGAUCCCCAGGAGGGGGCCCCCAGAGCAAGGGGGCAGGAAGUCCUGUCACUUCCCUGCCAGAGACAUCCCCCAUCUGUCCCUCACUGCAGGUUCCUGCAUCUCGCGCCUGCGUUGUCCUGCAGGGCACGAACCUACAUCAUCACUGUUCAUACAGCCAGGUGUAAUUUAUAACUUACAGGGUCGGGCACGAUUCUUUUUCUCCCCCCUUUUAUUUAUUUAUUUUUUUGCUUUUUUAGGGCUGCACCUGUGGCACAUAGGAGUUCCCAGAUGAGGGGCUGCAUCAGAGCUGCAGCUACCAGCACAUGCCACAGUCAUGCCAGAUCUGAGCCACAUCUGUGACCCACAACCACAGCUCACGGCAACGCCAGAUCCUUAACCCGCUGAGCGAGGCCAGGGAUCGAACCCAUAUCCUCAUGGGUACUAGUCGGGUUCUUAACCCACUGAGCCACAAUGGGGACUUCGUUCUUUUUUCUUUUUAUGGCCACACCUGCAGCAUAUGGGAGUUCCCAUAGGGGUGGAAUUGGAGCUGCAUAUGUGGUGUAAGCCACAGCCACGGCAACACUGGAUCUGAGCCACAUCUGUGAUCUAUUCUGGCAGCUUAUGGCAACACAGGAUCCUUAACCCACUGAGCAAGGCCAGGGAUUGAACUUGCAUCCUCACAGGGACAAUGUUGCACCUUAACCCACUGAGCCACAAUGGGAACUCCUGUUUUUGGUCACCCGCAGCAUGCAAAUUCCCAGGCCAGGGAUCGAACUUGUGACACAACAGUGACCUGAGCCACUGCAGGGACAACGCCGGAUCCUUAACUCGCUGAGUCACCAGGGAACUCUGAAAUGCACGCUUUUCAAGUUUGCAGCUGUGCAAGCCUGUGUGACCUCCACCCAGGUCACAACGUGGACACGCCCAGCCCCCAGGACACCUGUCUUGUGAGGCUGGCCCCCGGGCGUUCGUGUUGCUUGCUUUCCAUCUUGCCAUUGGUGGAAUCGCACAGAAGGUUCUCUCAUGUCUGGAUCUCCGGCUGGACAUGGUGGCCCUGGGAGCCGCCCACACUGAUCUGGGGUUGCGGGGCGGGGGGCAUCCCUCUUUUUUACCGCUGCACAGAGCCUCACAUCUGUGCACACCCCCACCCCAGCGUGUGGGUGCACUUCCUGGACACAGGGCCGUUGCCAGCUCUUGCCGUGACUGUUCCCAAGCCCACUUUCGUGUGGACACCUGCUUCGUUUAUUGGGGUAAACGCAUGGAAGUGAACCUGCUGGGUCCUGGGGAAGGUGAGUGUGUGUGCGUUUAUUAAGACGCUGCCCUUGGCUUUCCCCAGCCCUGGCACCAGCCGCCUUCCUCCACGAGAAGUGGCCACGCCAGGGCCUGGCUGGCUUUGCAGGCGGCCCCUGCCUUGGGGCGGGGGGAGAUGUUCCAACUUCCUCCGUGGGGCCCUCCUCCGCCGUCCGCCCUGCCUCUCACCGCAGCUGUGUCUCUGGCUCCGUCCCACCCUGAACCUCACGUUCCAGCUGCAUCAAAGGCCCACAGUUCCCUGCACACACGUCAUCUCUGUCCUUCUGCACGAACUGUCCUUUCCACCGGGAGUACGAGUCACCCUCCGGGGGCGGCCGGCUGCUUUGUCGUCUAAGAUCUAAGAGCACGUCUUCUAGGACCUGCUGACGUCUCCGGGUCCCGCCCUGCAUCCUGAGGCCCACAUCUGGCUGCCGGCUCUGAGCUGCCUUGGUCCAAGGAAGGCCUUUAAACCACACUGCCUCCCCUUCAUGCUCAGAACCCAGCGGGAUGCCUGGCACGUGGGAGGCCUCAGCAAACGUGCCAUAAAUGACAUGGUGAAGCCGGGUCUAGGUGGACACGUGCACGGGCGCACACGACUCCGUCCGUGAGGCCCACACAUCCAAGCGUGCAGCCUUGUGGGUCCGUGCACAUUUGUGCCCACCCGCGUGGCCACGCCCGGGUCGCUGACUUUUCCCCAAGAGAUUGGUGGUGUCGGUUCUCGACAUAAAAGGAACGUUCUUUCUGCAUCUGCCUUCCUUGGCUUACUCUAGACGUCUGCUCUGAGAGGCGCAGCUGUUGGCCCGGAUCCCUCUGCCUUGGUGGCCGGUGUCCUUGGCAGCAGCACUGCCCCCCCGCCCCCAUCGUUUUCCUCUGUCUCCCCAGAUUUCAUUUCCUGCUUCUGUCCUCAGCCCAGGUGUGGCUUUGCCUGGGAGUCCCUGCUUCCUGUGCGGGAGGGGCCCUUGUCUUCCCAUUAUCAGCAAGUUACCCUUGAAAUUCAGGGACCCUCGCUGCCCUGGGCAACUGUCCAGGCCUCCCUGGUUCCCGGGCCUCCCUGGGACCCCUCUUUGCAGCCCCAUGGUGGGUCAGUCACCGUAAGCUCUGGCUCAGGCACGUCGCCGUGGUCGACCUGGCCACACCCCUGAGCUGAAUUCUCCAAGCGGGGUUCUCAGACCAGCAGCAUCAGCACCACGUGGGAACGAAGAGAUGCAAGUUCUCGGGCGCGCCCCAGGCUCACUGUCCAGGGGAAAACACAGUUUCUUUCCUUGAAUCGCAGAGCCCUCUGACCCCCGGGGGUGCGGGUGUUGGCCCCCAGAGCCUGAGUCUCAGACACCCGCUGGGUGUCCUACAAUCCAGUUCAAACCUGCCACAAAGCAGAGACGGCACAGACCCCACAGGAAAAGGGCUGCCUCCCUUUUACCAGGCAGGGGGUGCGCUGGUAACCCCAUUCUGUCCACCCUGGCCCCAAAUCGGGGGCUCCCACGACCCCCUCCAUGGGGUCACGAAUCUGCUGGAACAGCUCACACAGCCUGGGAAACUUACUACUGUGGAUUUCUUAGAGCGGAUACUUGAGUGACUACAGACGGGUAGGCACAUGAGAGAGCGUGAGGUGUGGAAGGGUCCAGAGCACAGGUGGCCUGUCCCCCGCAGAGCCCUGUGCGUCACCCGCCUGGCAUGGGGAUGUCAUCACCAACCUGGCAGCUCUCCAGACCCCAUACUUUAGGGAUUUUUACGGAGGCUUUGUUAUGUAUGCGAGUUCCCACUCACGGUCCCGGUGAUCGGCCCCCACCCAGAGUCACCUCAUGGAAACAAAAGAUGCUCCCGUCACUCAGGAAAUUCUCAGAGUUUUGGGGGCUCUGUGUCCAGAACUGCGGUCAAAAAUCAACGUUGCCUCAG